rnacentral:rRNA from 1 species
UCUAUGGAAGCUUGCUUCCACUGAGAAGAUAGUGGCGAACGGGUGAGUAACACGUGGGUAACCUGCCCAUAAGAGGGGGAUAACAUCCGGAAACGGGUGCUAAUACCGCAUAGUUUUCUUGAUCGCAUGAUCGGGAAAGGAAAGACGGCCUUUGUGCUGUCGCUUAUGGAUGGACCCGCGGCGUAUUAGUUAGUUGGUGAGGUAACGGCUCACCAAGACGAUGAUACGUAGCCGACCUGAGAGGGUGAUCGGCCACAUUGGGACUGAGACACGGCCCAAACUCCUACGGGAGGCAGCAGUAGGGAAUCUUCCGCAAUGGACGAAAGUCUGACGGAGCAACGCCGCGUGAGUGAAGAAGGUUUUCGGAUCGUAAAACUCUGUUGUCAGAGAAGAACAAGUUGGAGAGUAACUGCUCCAGCCUUGACGGUAUCUGACCAGAAAGCCACGGCUAACUACGUGCCAGCAGCCGCGGUAAUACGUAGGUGGCAAGCGUUGUCCGGAUUUAUUGGGCGUAAAGCGAGCGCAGGCGGUUCCUUAAGUCUGAUGUGAAAGCCCACGGCUCAACCGUGGAAGGUCAUUGGAAACUGGGGAACUUGAGUGCAGAAGAGGAGAGUGGAAUUCCAUGUGUAGC